CCUACGGGAGGCAGCAGUGAGGAAUAUUGGUCAAUGGGCGCGAGCCUGAACCAGCCAAGUAGCGUGAAGGAUGACUGCCCUACGGGUUGUAAACUCCUUUUAUAAAGGAAUAAAGUGAGGCAUGUGUGCCUUUUUGUAUGUACUUUAUGCAUAAGGAUCGGCUAACUCCGCGCCAGCAGCCGCGGUAAUACGGAGGAUCCGAGCGUUAACCGGAUUUAUUGGGUUUAAAGGGAGCGUAGAUGGGUUGUUAAGUCAGUUGUGAAAGUGUGCGGCUCAACCGUAAAAUUGCAAUUGAUACUGGCAGUCUUGAGUACAGUUGAGGUAGGCGGAAUUCGUGGUGUAGCGGUGAAAUGCUUAGAUAUCACGAAGAACUCCGAUUGCGAAGGCAGCUUACUAAACUGCCACUGACAUUGAUGCUCGAAAGUGUGGGUAGCAAACAGGAUUAGAUACCCGUGUAGUC
rnacentral:rRNA from 1 species